rnacentral:rRNA from 1 species
UCCUGGGCUACACACGUACUACAAUGGGUCGGUACAGAGCGAUGCGAAGCCGCGAGGUGGGGCAAAUCGACACGAAAAUCAUCCGUAGUUCGGAUUGGAGUCUGAAACCCGACUCCAUGAAGGUGGAAUCGCUAGUAAUACGCGCAUCAGCAUGGCGCGGUGAAUACCGGUUCCCGGGCCUU